rnacentral:lncRNA from 1 species
AAGAAGACAAAAUUUUAUGAAAAUUUUGGGAAAUUGGGAGGAAAAUGCAUGGGCCAGCCCCUUGACUUGCCACAUCUGUGCUACCCAACCCACAGCACCUCUGCCCUGAGCCCCUCCCAGAUUCCAAGCUCCAUCAUUUAUUUUCCCCUCUCUCCAUUAUUUCUCGACAACUAUUCUCUCUCCUCCACAUGUUCCCGUUCUCUCUCUUUUUGCCAUGGACCACAAUUUAUCAUGGUAUCAGACAUUUCUCCCUCACUUUCUCUCUCUAUGAUAGUCUCUAUCGCGGUAUCCCAAUAUUCUAUCCGACAAUCUCAAAGAGAGCGUGUGAUUGCGUGCAGAGUAUGAUGGAUGAUAAGAAGAUUAGAGGAGGUUAGCAGUACUCCGUCGUCCGUACAACGCUUUAUACGUGGGCUUAGGACUUAGAUUUGUUAGCUUGGAUUUAGAGUGAGGAUAACAUCGUAUUAGAUUUCUAGAAGUAAAGAACGAUGGGUGCGGUUUGUGGAGAGCCUAGGCUCUAAACAAUCAACAUAAAGCGUACCUUAUAAUAGUG